CACUCCCCAAAUGGCCAGAGCUGAGCCAAUCUGAAGCCAGGAGCCAGGAGCUUGUUCCAUGUCAGAUGCAGGGGACUAAGGACUUGGGGCAUCUUCUUCUGUUUUCCCAGGCCAUCCAGAGAGCUGGAUCAGAAGUUGAGCAGCCGGGACUCGAACCAGCACCCAUAUGGGAUACCAGCACUGCAGGCUGGGGCUUUAACUGUGCCACAGCACCGGCCCCAAGGAAGGAGGAUAUUUCUUAAGGAGGAUAUUUCUUCACUGGUUUAUUUUCCAGGCCUCUGCAUUUCUAAACACAAUCACGUUAUGAACACACACCGAGUUGUGCAUGACACAUUUUUAUGAUGUUAAAAUAACAAUGGACUUUCGAUUGUUGUGGAGUGACCAGUUCCAGCCCUGUGAACAUGACAUAAAUUUUCAUUGUGAGGUCAUCAUCAGCUCCAACAUUCUAUAAGCUGUCCUGGAAACCUUCAGAUUCACAGUGCCUCAGAGACAUCUUAGUCAAGGGCAGAGUUAGACAGUGAGAGACAGAGACGGAGAGAAAGGUCUUCUUUAUUCAUUGGUUCACCCCCCAAGUGGCUGCUACGGCUGUCGCGCUGCCCCGAUCCGAAGCCAGGAGCCAGGUGCUUCCUCCUCUCCCAUGUGGGUG